UACGUAGGUGGCAAGCGUUGUCCGGAUUUACUGGGCGUAAAGAGCGCGCAGGCGGUCGUUCAAGUCGCGUGUGAAAGCCCCCGGCUCAACUGGGGAACGGCACGGGAAACUGGGAGGCUUGAGUUCGGGAGAGGGAAGCGGAAUUCCGGGUGUAGCGGUGAAAUGCGUAGAUAUCCGGAGGAACACCGGUGGCGAAGGCGGCUUCCUGGACCGACACUGACGCUGAGGCGCGAAAGCUAGGGGAGCAAACGGG
rnacentral:rRNA from 1 species